AGGGUGGUACAAAGAAAAGAAGACCAGGGAAGAGAAGCUCAUGAAGGUAACAAACAUGGCUGUCUGGUUUGGAAAAGCACAUUUGAUAGUUUAUGAAAUCACAGAGGAGAGUGGCUCUUGCCUCGCCACCCACUUAUUCAUCUGGAAGGAGGCUUCCAUGUUUAAUGAAAAAAAGUUAAAUUCGUUUAUCAGGAAAAACAGCAUUCAUGUAUUAUUUACAAAAAUUGAGGCUGAUCUCCAAGCUCUACUGUGGAAAGAGUUCAUCAAGUUCCUAGAUUGAAGAAAGCUAAUUGUAAGAAAUACAUAUGUAGUAUGCACAAGUUUCAUUAUAAAUAAGAGCAAAAACGUGCAUUGUAUAUGUA
rnacentral:lncRNA from 1 species